AUAGAGAAGUUCCUUUAUGAACAAAUUCUUUUCUUUACCUUGACCAUGAAGUGCCCUGGGAUGACCUUUUUCUGUUCCGCUCUUGCUUGACAUGAUAAACAAUAUUGCCAAGCAUUAUCUCAGUUAUUUAAUUAAUUUUAUGGCCCUUUUUUUAGGAUAAUUACUUUUCUGCACUUCCAUUCAAAAAUAAUAUUAAAUUAAAAAGAUUUCUUGCAUAUCUUUGUUAGAUUCAUGUAUCUUUGUUGAAAUAGUGUACUUGAUAACUAUCCAUUUUCAUAUCAUUUUUUUAAAUAUUUUAUAUUUAUUAAAAAAAUUUAUUAUUAAAAAAAAAGGCCUCAUUUAUUGGAUUCGUCUUAGGCCCCC
rnacentral:lncRNA from 1 species